UCUCUUGUAGCUCAGUUGGUAAAAAGAAUCUGCCUGCAAUGCAGGGGACCUGGGUUCAAUUCCUGGGUUGAGAA
rnacentral:tRNA from 1 species